AUGGAUGCGCGUCGAUUUGGCCGGAACAACAACAAGGGUGUGUGGUGGAGGACCCAGGUAGAUUCACGGUGGCAUUACAGGAGUGGUGGUGGUCGGUUGCGGUUCUGGCCGGAGCAGAUGAAGGGAAGCGCUUGUGGGUAUGAUGGAUCCGGCGUGAAUGCGGAGGCGGGGGUGGUGACUUCACGCUUUCGAUUCCGUUCUUCUUCUUUCUCUCUGAGUUGCGGCAGGUAUGGCUUGUUUUGGCAUCAAUGA
rnacentral:lncRNA from 1 species